rnacentral:lncRNA from 1 species
AUGAAGCUGAGGAAGAGGAGAGGAAACGAAGCCGGGGAAGAGGAGAGGAAGGCAUGGGAGAGGAGAAGAAGCCAUGGGAGAAGAGAAGAAGCUGGGGAAGAGGAGAGGAAAAGAAGCCGGGGAAGAGGAGAGGAAGCCAUAGGAGAGGAGAAGCCGGGGAAGAGGAGAGGAAGCCAUAGGAGAGGAGAAGCCGGGGAAGAGGAGAGGAAAAGAAGAUGGGGAAGAGGAGAGGGAGCCAUGGGAGAAGAGAAGAAGCCGGGGAAGAGGAGAGGAAAAGAAGCCGGGGAAGAGGAGAGGAAAAGAAGAUGGGGAAGAGGAGAGGGAGCCAUGGGAGAGGAGAAGAAGCCGGGGGAGAGGAGAGGAAAAGAAGCCGGGGAAGAGGAGAGGAAGCCAUGGGAGAGGAGAGGAAGCCGGGGAAGAGGAGAGGAAAAGAAGCCGGGGAAGAGGAGAGGAAGCCAUGGGAGAGGAGAGGAAGCCGGGGAAGAGGAGAGGAAAAGAAGCCGGGGAAGAGGAGAGGAAAAGAAGAUGGGGAAGAGGAGAGGAAGCCAUGGGAGAAGAGAAGAAGCCGGGGAAGAGGAGAGGAAGCCAUGGGAGAGGAGAAGAAGCCGGGGAAGAGGAGAGGAAGCCAUGGGAGAGGAGAGGAAGCCGGGGAAGAGGAGAGGAAAAGAAGCCGGGGAAGGGGAGAGGAAGCCAUGGGAGAGGAGAGGAAGCCGAGAAGAGGAGAGGAAAAGAAGCCGGGGAAGAGGAGAGGGAGCCAUGGGAGAGGAGAAGAAGCCGGGGAAGAGGAGAGGAAGCCAUGGGAGAGGAGAAGAAGCCGGGGAAGAGGAGAGGAAUAGAAGACGGGGAAGAGGAGAGGAAAAGAAGACGGGGAAGAGGAGAGGGAGCCAUGGGAGAGGAGAAGAAGCCGGGGGAGAGGAGAGCAAAAGAAGCCGGGGAAGAGGAGAGGAAAAGAAGACGGGGAAGAGGAGAGGAAAAGAAGAUGGGGAAGAGGAGAGGGAGCCAUGGGAGAGGAGAAGAAGCCGGGGGAGAGGAGAGCAAAAGAAGCCGGGGAAGAGGAGAGGAAGCCAUGGGAGAGGAGAGGAAGCUAUGGGAGGGGAGAAGCCGCCGGGGAAGAGGUAG